UUAAGCCAUGCAAGUCGAGCGGGGAAAUGUAGCUUGCUACAUUACCUAGCGGCGGACGGGUGAGUAAUGCUUAGGAAUCUGCCUAUUAGUGGGGGACAACAUCUCGAAAGGGAUGCUAAUACCGCAUACGUCCUACGGGAGAAAGCAGGGGACCUUCGGGCCUUGCGCUAAUAGAUGAGCCUAAGUCGGAUUAGCUAGUUGGUGGGGUAAAGGCCUACCAAGGCGACGAUCUGUAGCGGGUCUGAGAGGAUGAUCCGCCACACUGGGACUGAGACACGGCCCAGACUCCUACGGGAGGCAGCAGUGGGGAAUAUUGGACAAUGGGGGGAACCCUGAUCCAGCCAUGCCGCGUGUGUGAAGAAGGCCUUUUGGUUGUAAAGCACUUUAAGCGAGGAGGAGGCUACCGAGAUUAAUACUCUUGGAUAGUGGACGUUACUCGCAGAAUAAGCACCGGCUAACUCUGUGCCAGCAGCCGCGGUAAUACAGAGGGUGCAAGCGUUAAUCGGAUUUACUGGGCGUAAAGCGCGCGUAGGUGGCCAAUUAAGUCAAAUGUGAAAUCCCCGAGCUUAACUUGGGAAUUGCAUUCGAUACUGGUUGGCUAGAGUAUGGGAGAGGAUGGUAGAAUUCCAGGUGUAGCGGUGAAAUGCGUAGAGAUCUGGAGGAAUACCGAUGGCGAAGGCAGCCAUCUGGCCUAAUACUG
rnacentral:rRNA from 1 species